rnacentral:rRNA from 1 species
GGGUUUUAUAUUAAAGAAAUUCGGUAUGAGAUGGGGAUGCGUUCCAUUAGUUUGUUGGGGGGGUAACGGCCCACCAAGACUACGAUGGAUAGGGGUUCUGAGAGGAAGGUCCCCCACAUUGGAACUGAGACACGGUCCAAACUCCUACGGGAGGCAGCAGUGAGGAAUAUUGGUCAAUGGACGCGAGUCUGAACCAGCCAAGUAGCGUGAAGGAUGACUGCCCUAUGGGUUGUAAACUUCUUUUAUAUGGGAAUAAAGUUGUCCACGUGUGGAUUUUUGUAUGUACCAUAUGAAUAAGGAUCGGCUAACUCCGUGCCAGCAGCCGCGGUAAUACGGAGGAUCCGAGCGUUAUCCGGAUUUAUUGGGUUUAAAGGGAGCGUAGGCGGAUUGUUAAGUCAGUUGUGAAAGUUUGCGGCUCAACCGUAAAAUUGCAGUUGAUACUGGCAGUCUUGAGUGCAGUAGAGGUGGGCGGAAUUCGUGGUGUAGCGGUGAAAUGCUUAGAUAUCACGAAGAACUCCGAUUGCGAAGGCAGCUCACUGGAGUGUAACUGACGCUGAUGCUCGAAAGUGUGGGUAUCAAACAGGAUUAGAUACCCUGGUAGUCCACACAGUAAAC